GUGGGGGUAGGGUGGUAUGUGCGACACAGGGACAUACGCACAUAGACACACGCACAUCAGCACACGCACAUCGGCACAUACGCACAUCGCCACGCACCAGACAGCCAGACAUACGCACAUCGCCUCAGACACACGCAGACAUCCGCAUGCAGACAUCCGCACCCAGACGCAGACCCCCAGACAGCCGCAUCCAGACCUACGCACUUCGCCAUCGCCACCCAGAGUCCUGCGCAUAUCAGACUACGCAGCUCGCUAUCCGCAUCCAGACACACUCUUAGCCAGACACACACGCAGCCACCUACGCAGCCACAUACGCACCCCGGACCGGGGCUGCCGAGCCGGGGGGUGAGGAAGAGGAUGGAGAUGGAUGGUCAGUGGGCGCGGGCAAGAGGGGCAAGAGGAGCAAGCAGCCCUUCGGGGGCUCCGUGAGCUACCUCUGGUUUUUAAUUGAAUGUUCUUUAAUGCUUUUAUUUUUCUUUAAUUUCUGAGCAGCUUUUUUGGUAGAUUGGUUUUCUAUGCUUAGAGAUCUCUGAUUGGAUUGCGGUGUUUAUUUCAAAAAAUGUGUAGAGAUGGUUUCUUUUGGCAAAAGGUUUCUUUGUUAUAAGAAAUGAGCUGAAGGGUGAACGUCAUGAGGUGUUUAAAGGGCUAAAUGUUCUGUGAAGGAAUCCUUUAAAUUUAUUUUUAUUUUCCUGAACGUAAUAGAUCUAGAAUUAAAUUGUGGCAGAAUUCUAAUUAUAACAGAGCACUUAAAUAAUUCUCAAUUGUGUAAAUGAGGUAAAUUGAAUUUUUCCCCUCUCUUCACUGAGAUGAUCUUAGCCUUUGAGUGAUUUCAAAAAUGAACAAAUUUGUGGUCUUUUGUUUUGGAAUGAUAUCUGGUAGCUGAAUGAAUAUUAGAAAAUGUUGUUUUAAAAUGAAAAUAUGGAUUGGUGCAGUCGUUUAUUGUUUACAGAUUAGAAAAACAUUAAUAUGUCACUGUCGUUGGCAUUAUUUUAAGGAACUCUGAAGUAGAAAUUUGCCAAAUUUUGAUUAUCUUAGAUUUAAUUUUCUUUUUUAUGCAAAUUUAAGAUAUUUCAUGCCUCAGGUAGUGUAAAUGUAUUAUAGAUAAAAUAGAUACAUGUUGAUAUAUGAUUUGGGGAAGAUUUUUUCAUAGUACCUUCAAAUAUGGGCAUGAAGCUGAAUAUUGAAUAUUAAGUAUAAGCUAAAAUUAUAUUGUAGAAUAUGAAAAUUAUGUAUUUCUUCAUGCAGACCAUUAGAAUGUUGGUUGAAAUAAUGCAUUUAUACUACUUGGAGUAUGACAGUUGUCUAGAACACCUUGGAAGGGUGUGUUGCUAAUGUAUCUGGCGGCAUUUUCUUGAAAAAUGAAAAUGUUUCUAUUUUUACAAUGUACCAAAUUUCUUUCAGAUCUAAACCUGGAACUCAAGGCUAUUUCCCAUUUUGUUUGUGUGAUGGAACAAUUUAGGUUAAACAAUACAAUAAUCUGUUUUUCAGAAUUCACUAAUUAGUGCAGUUUUUUGGUUCGUUGUUUGGCUUUUUUUUAUUUUGUUUUGUUUUGCUUUGUUUUGUUUUUUUGCAGGCCUAUAAAGAUUCAGUGGAAAAUGAUGGUCAAAGAGGGAAAAUUAUUAACCCAUAUAACAUGUGAUGACCCAUCAAAAAUGAUGACAUCAAAAAAUUAAGUGGUCUAAAAUUUUAUAUAUCUAUAUGUUUUUAUAAAUAAUUAUAUAUGAGGUCUUACACAUGAAUUAGAAUGUAUAUGAAUCCCUUAAUCUUGUCAUCAUAAUAUUACUUCCCCCAGACCCCUCCCCUCUCCUUUUCACACCCAAACUCUUAGAAAAAUCUAUAUAUUCCUUGACUUGAUGUCUCUGGUUCCAUUUAGAUCUUGCAGAAUGAUUUCCAGCCACUAACUGGACUCAAAUCAUUCUCUCCUAUUUUGUCAGUGAAUUUUUUUUUUAAUUUUAGUGAUUUUUUUUUAAUCUAAUAGUUUCUCAUUGCCUCCAAAGGAGCUGUCCUAUAUUACAAAAUAUUUUUUUAACCCAAAGCACUAGGAAGAGAAAGAUACUCAAAAAAGUAAUCAAUACAAUGAAAAAAUUAAAAAUACAUGCUAUAUCCCUCAGUCAUGGACCACCGCUCUUGCAUCUUAAAAAAAAAAAAAAAAAAAAAAAGAGUAAUGCUUAUUUUUUGUAAUUUGGCAACAUGAUUUCUUUAUCACUAACUUUAGUGAUCUUUUUUCAGUCCUCAUCCUUCUUCAACUGAAACUGCUCUUUAGAAUUAUCAAGGAGUUCUUAAUUGCCAAAUUUCUCCCUCCUCCUUCCCUCCCUUUCCUCCCUCCCUUUCUUGAAUUCUCUGCAGCAUACAGCAUUCUUAACCAUCAUCUCUGCCUGGAUAUUACUUCCCUUUUCUGACACUGUAUUUUUCUGGUUCUCUUCCCACCUAUCUCAGUCUCCUUUACUGUAUCAUCAUUCCUGCUUUGAUCCUUAAUUUUGAGUUUUCCAUUUCUCUUUUUCUUCCCUGCUUUCUCUUAGAUAUCUCCUUUGGGUUCAAAAAACACAUCUAUUGCCAAUGACUCCCAAACCCACAUUCCAUCCUUCCUUCCUUUUUUUCCCCUCACUAUCUUCUUAGCACUCUGUUGUACAUGAAAACUUGUACAAAAUGAAUUUAUGAUUGUUUCUCCCUACCCCACCCAAUCCACCCCUCUUCAUUCAUUUUACUACCUUUAUAGCAAAUCCACAUGAAUCCUCAAGCAUUUGGAGCAGUUCAUAUUAUGGAAGACUUUGACUGACUGCCAUGGGUUCUGAAGUUUCCCCAAACAAGGGUACAUCUACUUCGGGGUCUUCUAGAAAUACCUUUAAGGGCUUAUAAAGGUGAUUCUUUAAUGUUGUUGGAUAGAUCGCCCCAUCCCCAAAGUGUUUGCUACAAUAACAGUUGUGAGGCACGCUUAAUAUUUCCUUUAUAUCAUAGCUAUUCUCUAAUGAGCAUAGCAUCUCAUUAUCAUUUAAUUACUUAGUUCCAAAGCACUGAUCCUCAAUGCCUUAUAGGACAUUCUCCUUUCUACCACUCAAUCCCUGAGGAGAAUGGAGUCAAACCUACUAUUACAUAUACUAUAUAUUUAUAUAUAAUACUAUAUAUUAGAGAUAUAAUAGUAUCACUAUUAUUCGAUAUUGGGAGAUUAAACGAGAUAGCAUUUGUCAAGGCUUUAAUCCAGUGCCUGGCAAAUAGCUGUCACGUAAUAAGGGCUUGUUUCUUCUCCUUCCCCUUCAGCGUCAUGUUGUCACUCAUUGUAAGGCAUUUGUCCCACCGAGUACUUCAUGAUGCAGCAUCAGCCUGUUAGAAGCUGAUGCCCCCUCCUUAAGUGGACUAGUCUAUGACCUCAGAAGCCUCCAUUCUGACCUUCCAAGCCCAUGAUGGUCAUUCUCAGACACAGCUCGUGAGCUUCCCGGCUCUCGGGACUGGUUAGACUUAACAAAUGAGCUUGUAGCUAUCUCCUGUGCUCUUGCACCUAAGGCAAUGGCUAACAGAUAACAAAAGACAAUAGAAGGAGCAGUGGGACCAUCUGUUCAUUAGCCAGGGGGCAGGUGGUGAAGAUAAGGCCCGAGUCUGUUUUCACAGGGCCUACAACUGUAGAUCUUGCCUCAUUCUAGCACCUCGGGGAACAAAGGCACAAGGCUGGUAAGUGUCAUUGCGAUACACCACAGUUCAUUCAGCUUCACACGGUCUUGUCACCAUGUCCUGAUGGACUAGAACUAGAUGUGCAUACUCCAGAGGCCUGUGGAGAUCACACCAGCUGCAGCAUUUCUCAUACUUAAUGGUUGGGAUACAAGAGAUUGCAAAAGAGUAUUGAAAAUGUUUUGAAUGGUAUUUGCGUCAGUAAGAUAAAAGCACACUCCAACACACACACACACACACACACACACACACACACACACUCUCUGAUUAAUUUAGAAACGACUGUAUGCUUGGACACAUAAAAUUCUGUUAAAGGAAGGGAUAGUUUGUAUUAUGGGGACUGCUCCAUUCAGAAUAAGGAGGACAGUUUGACUUAGAAUGGAUGAAGGCAACUAAUGCAGAAACAGUGCUUGAAAGACAGCUUGGGGAAAGAGGAAAAAUGUCCUUUUCACGUGGGAGGAGUUUUUAUUGGUUGUGUGUGUGCGCACACGCAUGUCAGUGUGCCAGAAGCAGCAAAAAGUAAUUGGGAGCUUUGUGAACCAGGGUCUUGACUUGGUCAGACCUGAGCUUCAGGAAUACAAUUGGGCUGCUACUAUGUAGAGUGGGAUGAGAAGCGCUGGAGGCAGAGAGACAUGCUAAUAAGCCAAUAAGCAUGUAAUAAUUGCCUACUAUGUACCAUGUGUGGCGCUGAUAAGCUCUCAGGAUAUAAAGAUCACUGUAUUCAAAGAGCACAGGAUCUAAUCGGAGAGCCCAGUCAGACAGCUAUGGACAAAAAAAAAAAAAAAAAGAUGGAUAUGAAAUUAAGAGGAGAUAAUCAACAGAUGGGAAAAUCUUAGCAUCAUGAGGGGAUUGGGAAGGGCUUCCAGGGCAUGUGUGGGAACAGCCUGAGAAAACUUCUGAGGAAUCAGAUGAUAGCGUGUCUUUUUAAAAGAACAGCGAUGAAGGCAAUGUCUCUGAACUGAAAAGUUGGGGGGAGGCAAAAAAGGUGCCUCAGAAGUGAAUAGAGAUUAGAAAGGGGAGAGCUGGAAUAUGCAGGACUUCGAAUGCCUCAGAGAAACAGCACGUGAUAGGGAGUGGUUGACAUUUAUUAGAUCUGAGGUUGGUGUGGUUGGAUCUGCACUUUAGGAAAUCCCUUUAGCAGUGAACAGAGAGGAUGGACUGAUGGGGUACAGCAAGAUUUGUGGUAGGCAAUGGACAAAGUGGCAGACUAUGGGGAUGUUGGUAGCUCUCAAGAGAAAAGAGAUGUUAAAAAAGAGCACCAUUAACUAGGUGUUAAUAAUUUUAACUAGGGCAUACGACCCUCUGAGUAGAAGAAAAGGAGACGUGUGUGAGAUAGAUAUACAUGACUGGAUUUAGAGUAAGUGUGAGAUGCACUGUACAUACAUACAUACAUAAAUACAUACACACACCUUUUAUUCAUUUUUUUACGGGUCCAUUUAAAAAAAAUGUUU